UACAGAGGUCUCAAGCGUUGUUCGGAUUCAUUGGGCGUAAAGGGUGCGUAGGCGGCGCGGUAAGUCGGGUGUGAAAUCUCGGAGCUUAACUCCGAAACUGCAUUCGAUACUGCCGUGCUUGAGGACUGGAGAGGAGACUGGAAUUUACGGUGUAGCGGUGAAAUGCGUAGAUAUCAGGAGGAACACCGAUGGCGAAGGCAGGUCUCUGGGCCACUACUGACGCUGAGAAGCGAAAGCAUGGGGAGCGAACAGG
rnacentral:rRNA from 1 species